rnacentral:rRNA from 1 species
GAUGAACGCUGGCGGCGUGCCUAAUACAUGCAAGUCGAGCGAACAGAUGAGGAGCUUGCUCCUCUGACGUUAGCGGCGGACGGGUGAGUAACACGUGGAUAACCUACCUAUAAGACUGGGAUAACUUCGGGAAACCGGAGCUAAUACCGGAUAAUAUAUUGAACCGCAUGGUUCAAUAGUGAAAGACGGUUUUGCUGUCACUUAUAGAUGGAUCCGCGCCGCAUUAGCUAGUUGGUAAGGUAACGGCUUACCAAGGCAACGAUGCGUAGCCGACCUGAGAGGGUGGAUGGGCCCACCGGGAACUGGGACCGGGUCCAAACUCCAACGGGGGGCAGCAGUAGGGAAUUUUCGGAAAUGGGGGAAAGCCUAACGGAGCAACGCCGGGGGGGUGAGGAAGGUCUUCGGAUCGUAAAACUUUUUUAUUAGGGAAAAACAAAUGGGUAAGUAACUAUGCACGUUUGGACGGUACCAAAUCAGAAAGCCACGGCUAACUACGU